AGGACCCAGGGCGGAGGACACAGAGGGAAAAAGAAGGAUUUAGCUGCUUUGCUUGAGGUUUUGCCUUUUAAAAAGCACAAAGGUUUUACUUUUCCUUCUAAUAGACCAGUAAAGAAUAUUUUCUCAAACUGUAAACCUGCUGAAGCAAAGGGGACAGCUAGAUUUUGGUUUUAAUACUGUGCAUUUUUAGGCAUUUUUGCCUUUGUUAAGAAAUAAUUGUUUUAUUUUGUAGAAAAGGACUUGGUAUUAUAAUGACCUUGGAUUUUCACUAAAUUGAUAUUAAUGGCCAAAAGAGAUUUACUUUCCUUAUUACUUGUUUAAACAAGCAGAAUAUAAGAGUCCUACAGAAUGCACUUUUGCUUUCAGAUAGCAGCCUUCACCUCUUCUUACAGAGCCAUCUGAAUUCAGAAGACAUUGAGGCGUGUGUUUCUGGGCAGACUAAGUACUCUGUGGAAGAAGCAAUUCACAAGUUUGCCUUAAUGAACAGACGUUUCCCUGAAGAAGAUGAAGAAGGAAAAAAAGAAAAUGAUAUAGAUUAUGAUUCAGAAAGUUCAUCCUCUGGGCUUGGACACAGUAGUGAUGACAGCAGUUCACAUGGAUGUAAAGUAAAUACAGCUCCGCAGGAAUCCUGAAAAAUAAUUCUAAUGUUACUAUCUUAGGAAUAGCAAAUUAUGUCCAGUCAUAGAGAAGAAAGCUUCAUAAUAAUACAUUCUUACCUAAAGCUCACUGUCAUGAUGUUAGGUAUUUAAAUUCUUAAAGAUGUUGGGUUGUUUAUUAGUGGUAUUUUUAUGUUGUCUUAUUUUAGG
rnacentral:sRNA from 1 species